AUCGGAAUGUGGUUACCAUUUUCAGUGCACCCAAUUACUGUUAUCGUUGUGGGAACCAGGCUGCUAUCAUGGAAUUAGAUGACACUUUAAAAUAUUCCUUCCUUCAAUUUGACCCAGCGCCUCGUCGUGGUGAGCCUCAUGUUACACGGCGCACCCCAGACUACUUCCUAUAAAUUUCUCCUGGGAAACCUGCCUUUGCUGGAGUGCAAUGGUGUGAUCUCGGCUCACUGCAACCUCCACCUCCCAAGUUCAACCGAUUCUCCUGCCUCAGCCUCCCAAAUAGCUGGGAUUACAGGUGCCCACCACCACGCCCAGCUAAUUUUUGUGUUUUUAGUAGAGAUGGGUUUCACCAUGUUGGCCAGGCUGGUCUCGAACUCCUGACCUCAGGUGAUCUGCCCGCCUCGGCCUCCCAAAGUGUUGGGAAUACAGAUGUGAGCUACCACGCCCAGGUACUCCCUUAGCUUUAAUAUUUACUCAUCUGUAUCUGCAUGUGCUGCCCCAGACGAUGAUGAUGAUGAUUGAGACAUGAUCUCACUCUGUCACCCAGGCUGGAGCACAGAGGUGAGAUCAUGGCUCACUGCAACCUCAACCUGUGGGGCUCCAGUGAUCCUCCCACCUCAGUCUCCAGAGUAGCUGAGACUACAGGUGCAGGCAAUCACGCCUGGCUAA
rnacentral:lncRNA from 1 species